rnacentral:rRNA from 1 species
CCUUGAAAUACCACCCUUUAAUGUUUGAUGUUCUAACGUGGACCCGUAAUCCGGGUUGCGGACAGUGUCUGGUGGGUAGUUUGACUGGGGCGGUCUCCUCCUAAAGAGUAACGGAGGAGCACGAAGGUUGGCUAAUCCUGGUCGGACAUCAGGAGGUUAGUGCAAUGGCAUAAGCCAGCUUGACUGCGAGCGUGACGGCGCGAGCAGGUGCGAAAGCAGGUCAUAGUGAUCCGGUGGUUCUGAAUGGAAGGGCCAUCGCUCAACGGAUAAAAGGUACUCCGGGGAUAACAGGCUGAUACCGCCCAAGAGUUCAUAUCGACGGCGGUGUUUGGCACCUCGAUGUCGGCUCAUCACAUCCUGGGGCUGAAGUAGGUCCCAAGGGUAUGGCUGUUCGCCAUUUAAAGUGGUACGCGAGCUGGGUUUAGAACGUCGUGAGACAGUUCGGUCCCUAUCUGCCGUGGGCGCUGGAGAAUUGAGGGGGGCUGCUCCUAGUACGAGAGGACCGGAGUGGACGCAUCACUGGUGUUCGGGUUGUCAUGCCAAUGGCACUGCCCGGUAGCUAAAUGCGGAAGAGAUAAGUGCUGAAAGCAUCUAAGCACGAAACUUGCCCCGAGAUGAGUUCUCCCUGACUCCUUGAGAGUCCUGAAGGAACGUUGAAGACGACGACGUUGAUAGGCCGGGUGUGUAAGCGCAGCGAUGCGUUGAGCUAACCGGUACUAAUGAACCGUGAGG